CUUUGGGCCGAACGAUUCCCCACAAAGAGCGCUUCUCGCUUCUAGAAGAUGCUACCACUGUGGCGAAGCAUGUGGGGGAGAUAGAAUUAGAAUGGCAUAUCUUACCACACCCUCGGUAAAAACUUACUAGAUAGGUAUAUAUAUUCUCAUCUUUAUUUUAGAGGAGAGUUUAGGAAGUAUUGCUUUUACAGAUUUAUUAUUCAAAAGAAAACUGGGAUCUUCUGGAAUUAAGCCGUAUGUUCCCCCUAAUUUUAAAGUUGGGAUGUCUCACGUCACCAGUUUAGAAGCGUCCUGGAUUUAAAGGGGUAGCCCUAGGUUCCGACGUCAGCCCUUGAACUUCCGGCAAGAGGGAAAAAGUACCGAGUACGUAGAGCUUCAAGUGUCUGAUACAGGAGGUCUCCCUCUAAUCCUUAUUGUUCAAGAAGUGGCCUACCUCCAAGGAAUGGGAAAUCAUGGCAAUGUUUUUGGCAACCUUUGACUGAAUUACCCUUUAUCUUGGUUCUCCUAGCCUGACUACAUUGGAAUAGGUCAAGAGUUGGGAAUGGGGCGGCUAGAUCUGGCUUCAUCAUCUCCAACUAAACUCUGGUCCAGUUCUAGAGAAUCAAAGAUCUCAAGAGCAGGUUGUUCAGUGCAGACCCUAAAGAGGAUGAAGUUCUUUGGGUGCUUGUGUUUGCAGCUGACACAGCACCAAUUGCAUCAAACUCCAGAAUGCUACUAGGAUAACUAUCCAUACAGGAAACACCAAGUGGAUGAAGAAUGCCAGCUGUGUAGUUCCACAGUUACCAAACAAUUCAAGGCCUCAUUACCUCUUACCUAAACUAAAAAUAGCCUCCUAAGAGGCUUCAUCCCUGCUUCCAAGCCUCCUCCUGCUGCCCAUCCUGCCCAGAGCUUCCAGAUUAGGCUUUCUAAAGCCCUUCAAGCCCGAGUCAAAGAUUUCCAGCUGAAUAGGACCGCAGACAUUAUCUACUUCUUCAUAGGACUCCAAUUCUGUUCUGCCUCGCCUGCUCAAAGUGACUUCUGCUGCCUGUGGGAUAUAGUUCAGACUCCUUUGCCCAGUAAUCUAAUUCCUUCACAAUCUGGUCCCAUUCAUUAAUGAACGUUUACUGAAUACUUCCCCAUAAGUAGGGCAUUUCUGCUCCCCCAUGUGAACUUCCUACAAGAAUAGGACAAUUAAAUUCAGUGGGUUCAGUCAUUUUUCAGUCGUGUCUGAUUCUUCAUGACCCCAUUUAGGGUGUUUUUGGCAAAGAUACUGGAGUCUGCCAUUUCUUUCUCUGGCUCAUUUUACAGAUGAGGAAACUGAGUCAAAAAGGAUUAAGUGAGUUGUCCAGGAUCACACAGCUAAUAAGUGUCUGAGGUCAGACCUGAACUCAGGAAGAGGAAUCUUCUUGACUCCAAGCCUGGCACUGUAACAACCGUUCUAUGUAGCAUUUGUAAAAUGCCUACCAUGUUCAAGGUACCUGGGAGACAUAACAAUGAAGUAGCCCCUAUAGGUCCUAUGCCUUUUAUCAUGAUUUUGCAGAUACUCUUUUUUUUUCAUGCAAACAGGAUUCAGUGACUUACUCAGGGUCAUACAAUUAGUAAAUUGCUAAGGCUAGAUUUGAACUCGAAUCUUCUUGACUCUAAGCCCCAUACUCUAUCCAUUGUACCACACUGCCCCCUUGCAGAUACUCUUCAUCAUGUCUGAAAUGCUCUUACCAACCCCAUCUCCAUCUGUACAAAUUCUAACCAAUCUUUAAGACAUAGCUCGAGCCUUCUAUUCCUUAAAGCUUUCUCAGACCACUGCAGCCCACAAUAAUCUUCCUAUGUUUGUCAUAUUAGUGGAGCACCAGGUCCUGAGUGUGGAUCACCUGAUUUUGAAAUCCGCCUUAGACUCUUAAUAGCUAUAUGAUCUUAAGCAAAUCA